rnacentral:rRNA from 1 species
GACGAACGCUGGCGGCGUGCUUAACACAUGCAAGUCGAACGGAAAGGCCCUGCUUUUGUGGGGUGCUCGAGUGGCGAACGGGUGAGUAACACGUGAGUAACCUGCCCUUGACUUUGGGAUAACUUCAGGAAACUGGGGCUAAUACCGGAUAGGAGCUCCUGCUGCAUGGUGGGGGUUGGAACGUUUCGGCGGUUGGGGAUGGACUCGCGGCUUAUCAGCUUGUUGGUGGGGUAGUGGCUUACCAAGGCUUUGACGGGUAGCCGGCCUGAGAGGGUGACCGGCCACAUGGGGACUAAGAGACGGCCCAGACUCGUACGGGAGGCAACAGUGGGGAAUAUUGCACAAUGGGCGGAAGCCUGAUGCAGCAACGCCGCGGGCGGGAUGACGGCUUUCGGGUUGUAAACCGCUUUCGCCUGUGACGAAGCGUGAGUGACGGUAAUGGGUAAAGAAGCACCGGCUAACUACGUG